GGGGGGGGGGGGGGGGGGGGGGGGGGGGGGGGGGGGGGGGGGGGGGGGGGGGGGGGGGGGGGGGGGGGGGGGGGGGGGGGGGGGGGGGGGGGGGCCGGGACGGGCGGCCGCGCUCCCCGCCGCCCGGGACACCGCUCCCGGCCUCGCCCCACCCGGCUGCUCGCCGGUGGUGCCCCCGGUGGGCUGGCAAGGCGGCCUGGCCUCCGUUCCGCCUCCUCGGCGCUCCCGGGGCUUUUGCGGGGUGCAGCGCAAGUUCUGCGCUAUGAACGUGGCUGCAGUGUACCGGCUGACCAGGCACCUACAGCCUCGAACACUUCCUCUGCCAGUUCUGAUGUGACCUCAUAUGUCCGUGCACCUUAUCUGCUCAGAUCUUUUGCUGAUAAGGUUGUUCUUUGGAGCUGCAUCCGGUAGCCUUUCCAGGCAGGGGUAGGCUGGUGACCCAGCGAGGUGCUGAAGUGAAACCAACACCACCCAUUCUUCUCAUUUGGAAACUCCGGAUGGCCACGAGGGACCUGGAUAUUGUAUCAACAGGAUGUCAGGGAAAACAAAAGAAGGCUGUAACUAGCAUGUGGACAAUGUAUCUUUAUUAUUUCCAAUUAAGGAGCUCUUGUUCUGUGGUUUGGUGUCCUGUCCCCUGCCACCCUCCUGGCAUCUUUAGUCUGUACAACAAACAGAUUUUCAGCUGUUCUUCACUGAUUUGAUUUGAGCUCUGUUUUUGUACAAAUGUUUUGUAACUUGGUCUGUUGGCUACGGACAACCAGCUGCAACAUGAAAAGAGUGAUUUUCAUUCUGAUUGCGUUGCAUCUUCCACUUGGUAAGGAUUGAGUGCUUUUAAAAUAGCCCAUCUUGAAUCUUCUCAUGCUUGGGAAGAAGGGAAGAAAAACCAACUCAUUAUAUAGUUUUUAUCAGGUUUUGUUUGCAAAAUUAAAUAUUUCCCCUGAAUAGGUAAUGGUAUUGCAAAGGCCAUGAAAUACAGUAGCAGUGUUAGUCUUAAAGCAUAUAAUCUGAAAAGUACAUGGAAUUCACAUAUUGCAAGGGUAUUUGGGCUUUUAAAUAAAACAUUAUUUUGACAUGGUUUGAAGUAUAUUGGGUGCUUCAGCAUGCGAGUGAUGAAAUUCCUGCUAUGAAGCAUUUGAAUUCUAAUUGUAGGAAAAAUAACAGUUGCCAGUAGCACAUGUUAGAGAAAGACAAGCUCUGUCACAGCAUUUAGGCAUGUGGUAUGGCAGUUGAAUUAAAAUAGUAACGUAACCUAAUGAUGAUGUGUCACUAACCUCGAGGACACCAGGGAAGAUAAAACAAAGUAAUUUGCUGUAGUUACAUAAGAACUGAGUACAAAGCCAAGAAUGGGGUUUGGGCACAGAUAAGGAUUUCACUCCAAGACUUUCAAAGAAUUCAGCUCUUCAAAGCUUUAACUAUCCACGGGCCUCUCAGAUCCUCCCAUCCUCUUCAUUCUCUUCCCUCCACCCUC
rnacentral:lncRNA from 12 species